rnacentral:lncRNA from 1 species
CCUCUCAUCCCCACUUUUGGUACAUCUUUAUUAUAUCCAGUCUUGUAAUUAUUGAUAUUUAGAAAGAUGCCAUGUUAAGAAGACCAUAGUAGGCUUACUUCUUUUCCAUUCAUCAGGCAUUUGGACCCAGCUCAAUCCUGAUGAUAGGAUAUUCCUUGAUCCUUUCAUCCCACAUAUUAUUCGGAACACUUAUCUUUAAGGAAUUUAUAUAUAUUGAAUCAUAUGAA